rnacentral:rRNA from 1 species
UGGUUGACCUCGGAUCAGGUAGGAUACAGUGAUA